UAGGGAAUAUUGGUCAAUGGACGCAAGUCUGAACCAGCCAUGCCGCGUGAAGGAUGAAGGUCCUCUGGAUUGUAAACUUCUUUUAUCUGGGACGAAAAAAGCUCAUUCUUGAGCACUUGACGGUACCAGAAGAAUAAGCACCGGCUAACUCCGUGCCAGCAGCCGCGGUAAUACGGAGGGUGCAAGCGUUAUCCGGAUUUACUGGGUUUAAAGGGUGCGUAGGUGGAUUUGUAAGACAGUGGUGAAAUCUCCGAGCUUAACUCGGAAACUGCCAUUGAUACUAUAAGUCUUGAAUUAUCUGGAGGUAAGCGGAAUAUGUCAUGUAGCGGUGAAAUGCUUAGAUAUGACAUAGAACACCAAUUGCGAAGGCAGCUCACAAAACUGUAACUGACACUGAGGCUCGAAAGUGCGGGGAUCAAACA
rnacentral:rRNA from 1 species